GCCCCCUGCGCGAGUCCUCAGCCCCGCCCCGGGCCUACGUCAGCGCAAGCCCCGCCCCUGCCCGGCCGCGCCCGCUCGCCGUCCCGCAGCCUCCUGGGAGGGCUACUCGGCCGCGCGCGGACCUCGGGCGCCUUCCAAGGGGCCGGUGGGCUGGGGGAUGGCGGGCGCGGGUGCACACGCGCACACACUCCCCGCGCGGGGCGCUCGGCCUCUGUCUCCUUCCGCUUGCCGUAGGAGGCGGUGCGGCGCUGAUAGUGGGCAACCACUACCGCCUCGGUGGACCGGUGCCGCGCAGCCGGUGCCCAGGUCUCCGGGGGCAGCCUCUGCCAGCGAGAGUUUUAUCAGUAAACACCCUGAGAGCAGUUGAGUCACAGCAGCACUCUUUACUCAGGAAAAGCCUACCCCCUGUGACUCACGGUCUUCACCUGACUGCCGAUCCGCUCGUCCUGUAAGCUCCCCAGCGAUGUGAGGAGGUGGAAGGAAAGCAAAGUGGACUUCAUGCUAUCUACCUGGUUUCCCCUCGCCCAUCCUCUACUUGUGUGACCUUGGAAAGAUCCCAGUACUUCUGGGUCCUGCUUUUCUUAAAUGUAAAGUGAGGUGUGGACGAGAUGUCUCAGGUUUAUCGUCAAACCCAGAAAUGGAAAUUGACAAGCAGAUGCUAAAAUUCACACGGCAGUGCAAGGGACUCAGAAUAGCCAAAAGAAUCAUGAAGAAAAAAGUUGAAACGUUCAUUCUUCCUGAUUUCAAAGCUGACUACAAAGCUAUAAUAAUCAAGAGUAUACAGGAGGUGAGAGAGAAAUUGAAGGAGUUGUUAAGCAAAAAUGAACCAGAAUUUGAAGAUUUGGAAAAUUCUUAGCUUAUCUGCAAUACGGUAACUUGCAAGAAAAAUGUAUUGGUGAUCAUUUUGUAAUAUGUUUAAAUGUCAAAUCACUAUGUUGUACACCUGAAACUAACAUGAUAAUGUACAUCAACUAUACUUCAGUUUUAAAAAAAGAAAUACACAUUUGGUCAUUCAGACAACUAAAAUAUAUCUCUCAUAUAUGUAUGGUCUUCAUCCAAGGUUCUUGACACAGCUCCCAAAACCCUUGGAAUUUCCUGAGGGACGAGAGCAACAGGAACUUCUGUUGUAGUGUUCAGUCCUUGUUCCUCAGUUCCUGAAAUCACUUUCAGAGCCAUAAAGGUGAAAUAGUAUCCUGUUAUUUAAGUGUUUAUGUUAAUGAGGUGACUUUUGGAAAGCCCUAAGGAUGGAGGUCGUUAGCAAAGGACUCAACCAGGGAGUACAGGGUUGGAACUUCAGCCCCACCCUCUUACCUCCAUGGAGGGGAGAGAAACUAGAGGCUGAAUCAGUUGCCAAUGACCAAUGAUUUGAUCAAUCAUAUCUAAGUAAUGAAGCCUCCACAACACUCCACAAGGACAGGGUUCAGAGAGCUGCCUGUUGGUGACUUCCUGGAGAAUGGGGAGAGUGGCAAGCAGGAGGGGGCUUGUUAUCUCUGCGCUGUCUCCCCAUGCCUUGCCCUGUGUGUCUCUUCCAUCUGGCUGUUCUUUUUAUAAUAAAUCAGUCAUCCAGUGUGUAAAAAUUUUUCUCUGAGUUCUGUGAGC
ensembl:lncRNA